AUACGGAGGGUGCAAGCGUUAAUCGGAAUUACUGGGCGUAAAGCGCGCGUAGGCGGUUAUUUAAGUCGGAUGUGAAAGCCCCGGGCUCAACCUGGGAAUUGCAUUCGAUACUGGGUGACUAGAGUAUGAGAGAGGGAGGUAGAAUUCCAUGUGUAGCGGUGAAAUGCGUAGAUAUGUGGAGGAAUACCAGUGGCGAAGGCGGCCUCCUGGCUCAAUACUGACGCUAAGGUGCGAAAGCGUGGGGAGCAAACAGGAUUAGAAACCCCGGUAGUCC
rnacentral:rRNA from 1 species